rnacentral:rRNA from 1 species
CUCUGUGACUCCUACGGGAGGCAGCAGUGGGGAAUAUUGCACAAGUGGGGGAAACCCUGAUGCAGCCAUGCCGCGUGUGUGAAGAAGGCCUUCGGGUUGUAAAGCACUUUCAGUAGGGAGGAAGGUAGUGUAGUUAACACCUGCAUUAUUUGACGUUACCUACAGAAGAAGCACCGGCUAACUCCGUGCCAGCAGCCGCGGUAAUACGGAGGGUGCGAGCGUUAAUCGGAAUUACGUGGGCGUAAAGCGCAUGCAGGCGGCCUGUUAAGUCAGAUGUGAAAGCCCCGGGGCUUAACCUCGGAAUUGCAUUUGAAACUGGCAGGCUAGAGUCUUGUAGAGGGGGUAGAAUUUCAGGUGUAGCGGUGAAAUGCGUAGAGAUCUGAAGGAAUACCAGUGGCGAAGGCGGCCCCCUGGACAAAGACUGACGCUCAGAUGCGAAAGCGUGGGGAGCAAACAGGAUUAGAUACCCUGGUAG